rnacentral:rRNA from 1 species
AGAGAGAGACAUGCGCGCAUAUCAAUAAGCGGAGGAAAAGAAACUAACAAGGAUUCCCCUAGUAACGGCGAGUGAAGCGGGAAGAGCUCAAAUUUGAAAUCUUAAAGGGUUUCCCUUUACGAAUUGUAGUUUAAAGAAGUGUUUUCUGUUGAGGUUUUGGUAAAAGUUCUUUGGAAUAGGACAUCAUAGAGGGUGAGAAUCCCGUAUUUGACCUUUACUUUCAACUUUGUGAUACACUUUCAAAGAGUCGGAUUGUUUGGGAAUGCAGUCCAAAAUGGGUGGUAAAUUUCAUCUAAAGCUAAAUAUUGGCGAGAGACCGAUAGCGAACAAGUACCGUGAGGGAAAGAUGAAAAGAACUUUGAAAAGAGAGUUAAACAGUACGUGAAAUUGUCAAAAGGGAAGCGUUUGACACCAGUGUUGUUUUUCUGAAAAUCAAUUAAAGAACUGUUUAUGCUAAGCUGUUUAGACUUUAUCAGCUAACUGUUUAGUUUUGAGCUUUUCUUUAAUGCACUUUUCAGUUAACAAGUCAACAUCAAUUUCUUUUGCUGUAAAAAAGCUUGAGGAAGGUGGCUUGAGAUUCGUCUUAAGUGUUUAUAGCCUCUUGCCUAUGCAGUCGGGAGAGAUUGAGGUCUGCAGCGUAGAUCCUUCGAGGCUAAAUGCAUUUGUGCUAAGUUAUAACAUUUUAUAGACAACUUGUUGACUAUGAUUUGUCUUGUAGCUUACUCGCUUAUGUUAUUUUACCUACGCUUAGGAUGUUGAGCGCAUGUCUCUCUC